CCUACGAGUGACUGCAGUAGGGAAUUUUGCGCAAUGGGCGACAGCCUGCCGCAGCAACGCCGCGUGAACGAGACGCCCUUCGGGGUGUAAAGUUCUGUCAGUGGGGACGAAAGAUGACGGUACCCACAGAGGAAGCACCGGCUAACUCCGUGCCAGCAGCCGCGGUACUAAGGAGGGUGCAAGCGUUGUCCGGAUUCAUUGGGCGUAAGAGUUCGUAGGCGGUUUGUUAAGUCUGGUGUUAAAGGCAGAAGCUCAACUGCUGUUCGGCACUGGAUACUGGCCAACUAGAAUGCGGUAGGGGUAAAGGGAAUUCCUGGUGGAGCGGUGAAAGGCUUAGAUAUCAGGAGGAACAUCGGUGGCGUAAGCGCUUUACUGGGCCGUAAUUGACGCUGAGGAACGAAAGCCAGGGUAGCAAAUGGGAUUAGAUACCCUUGUAGUC
rnacentral:rRNA from 1 species